GAUGAACGCUGGCGGCGUGCUUAACACAUGCAAGUCGAACGGAAAGGCCCAAGCUUGCUUGGGUACUCGAGUGGCGAACGGGUGAGUAACACGUGGGUGAUCUGCCCUGCACUUCGGGAUAAGCCUGGGAAACUGGGUCUAAUACCGGAUAGGACCACUUCUUGGAUGUUGUGGUGGAAAGUUUUUCGGUGUGGGAUGAGCUCGCGGCCUAUCAGCUUGUUGGUGGGGUAAUGGCCUACCAAGGCGUCGACGGGUAGCCGGCCUGAGAGGGUGUACGGCCACAUUGGGACUGAGAUACGGCCCAGACUCCUACGGGAGGCAGCAGUGGGGAAUAUUGCACAAUGGGCGCAAGCCUGAUGCAGCGACGCCGCGUGGGGGAUGACGGCCUUCGGGUUGUAAACUCCUUUCGCUAGGGACGAAGCUUAUUUUGUGACGGUACCUGGAGAAGAAGCACCGGCUAGCUACGUG
rnacentral:rRNA from 1 species